GGUGGUUUCACGAAGUCCACUGUCAAAGAUCAGGGCUUAACCUUGGGCAGGCAGUGGAAACUCGGAAACUCGAGUCAGGUGGGGGCUGAAGGAAUCAACAGCGUAACAGUGAAAUGUGUAGAUAUUGUUGAGAACACCGAUGGAGAAAUCAUUCAGCUGGGCCAUGACUGACACUGAGGGACGACAGCUAGGGGAGCAAAAAGGAUUAGAUACCCUUGUAGUCCUAGCCGUAAACGAUGGAGACUAAGUGCUGUCAAAAAACAGUGCUGUAGCUAACGCGUUAAGUCUCCCGCCUGGGGAGUAUGCUGGCAACAGUGAAACUCAAAGGAAUUGACGGGGGCCAGCACAAGAGGUGGAUUAUGUGGUUUAAUUUGAUUCUACGCGGAGAACCUUACCAGGGAUUGAACUGCCAAGAAAGAUCCAGAGAUGGGUCUGUGCCCGAAAGGGAACUUGGACAGAGGUGGUGCACGGCUGUCGUCAGCUCGUGAUGCGAAUUGUCAGGUUAAGUCCUUGAACGAGCGUAACCCUUGUUUUCAGUUGCCCGAAAGGGAACUCUGGAAAAACUGCCGAUGUAAAUCGGAGGAAGGAGAGGAUGACGUCAAGUCAGCAUGCCCCUUAUAUCCUGGGCUACACACGUAAUACAAUGGUCGAGACAGCGAGAUGCUACCCCGCAAGGGCACGCUAAUCUCUAAAACUCGGCCUCAAUUCGAAUUGUGUUCUGCAACUCGAACACAUGAAGCCGGAAUCUCUAGUAAUCGCCAAUCAGCUAUGUGGCGGUGAAUACGUUCCCUGGCCUUGUACACACCGCCCGUCAAAUGGAGGGAGUGAGCUUCGCUCGAAGCCGUUCAGACUAACCCACAAGGAUGUCAA
rnacentral:rRNA from 1 species